UGCCUUUGCGAGAGCGGAGUUGGGUUCUCCUCAGCACAGACGCGGAGAGCAUCGCGAGGGCGGAGCUGCGUUCUCAUCUGCACAGAUUUCAGUGGUACUGCGAAGGCGGAGCAGAGUUCUCCUCAGAUGAUGAUUAUUCCCCACCUUCUAAGAGACAAAGACCAACGAGCCGCCACAGCCACCAGUCCCAGAACCCGCCAAUGCUGGGGAACGGAAAAUGAGGGAGUUCAACUCUGGCCCUCACAAUCCAGUGGAGGAGACGCAACUCAUCUGCCUCUGUCCCUCUGGGCACGCCUCGUGCCAGGUGCAUCUGUGGACAGGGGCCAUGCUCCUGGGCUUCCAAAGUUGGAGAAAGCUGCCAGGCUCAGGUCUGAAGGCCAGAAUUCUACAGUAAGUCCUACUGAGUCAAGGUGGGAGCAGGGUCGGUAGCUUCCGAGGCUCUGCGGGAGAAUCUGUUUCCUGGCCGUAGAGGUGGCCUGCACUCCUCAGCCUGUGCUGCCCGUCUCGAAUGACUGGAGUUUCCUGCUUCUGUCACUACACCUCCCACCCUCUCCAUCACCUGCUCUGCUCUUACAAGGAUCCGAAGAAAUGGAAUCAUCGUAUCGCUGAUCUACGUAAACAAACUGAAGAAUUGUCUGAAAGAAAAUAUGACAUGAACUUAUGAAUUCAAUAGGUGAAGAUUUACAACUUGAUAAAUCAACUUUGUCAGCUCGAGCUGUAAAAGCCAAAGGUCCGGUGAUGAUCCCAUACCCUUUUUUCCAGUCUCAUGUUGAAGAUUUUUAUGUAGAAGGCCUUCCCAAAGGAAUUUUUUUUUUUUUUUUUUUUUUGAGAUGGAGUUUUCACUCUUAUCGCCCAGGCUGGGGUGCAAUGGCACAACCUUGCUGGUCACUGCAACCUCUGCCUCCUGGGUUCAAGAAAUUCUCCUGCCUUAGCCUCCCAAGUCACUGGGAUUACAGGUGCCCACCACCACACCAGGCUAAUUUUUGUAUUUUUAGUGGAGAUGCGGUUUCACCAUGUUGGCCGGGCCAGUCUCGAACUCCUGACGUCAAGUGAUCUUCCCGCCUCGACUCCUGAUAUCAAGUGAUCUUCCCGCCUCGGCCUCCCAGAGUGCUGAGAUUACAGACGUGAACCCAUGCCUGGCCAGGAAUUUUGUUUUUUAGGAAGGCUUUCUACUAAUGGAAUUCCUGGCCUUGAGAGGAUGUUACUUUAGAAGGAAAGGAUUUUUUUGUUAUUAAAAGAGCCACCUAAGCUGAAGAUUCCCUUGAGAACAAGUACUGUCCCUAGUUUCCCAGUGCUGGAAUAUAGAAAAUGGAUGGACAACUGGACCUACCAUGAAAGACUUCUGAAUCCAGGAAGAGAAACUGACUGGGCAACAUGUUAUUCAGAGAUGGGACCUCAGUAUGUUGCCAUGGCUGACCUUGAACUCCUGCACUCAAGGGAUUUUCCUACCCUGGCCUCCCAAAGUAUUGGUAUUACAGGCAUGAGCCAUUGUGCCCACCGUCUCUGGUUCUUAACCUUCUGCCUCCCUCUUCCAGUUUUAAAGAAUGCUUGUAAUUACAUGGGCUCUCCUAGAUACUCCAGGAUAAUCUUGUUUUAAGGUCAGCUGAUGAGCAACAUUAAUUUUAUCUGCACUCUUAAUUCCCCCUUCCUAUGUAAUUGUGCUGUGUAACAUAGGACAUGAGCAAUUGGUGGCGGUGGGGGUUAUUACUUUGGCCACCACAGUAACUAUUUUAUGCCAGGUACUCAGCUAAGCACUGGUGAAUUAAGCAUGAAUAACACACACUCCUUAAUCUCCAUCCAUUCAUGGGAGGAGCACUUCACCUGCCAUGCUCCUGAGAAUCUCGGGAGUCAUAGAAGUCUUCUAUGAGGAGGUGAUGCCAAAGCGGACAAGUGACAGAGGAGUCAAAGCUAGCUAGGAAGAGAGUAGAGGUUUAAGGGGAAGCAUAUUAUAAGCAGAGGAUAUUACCCACUUCAGAGACUCCCAGAGGAGAAAGAGUGUGCGUUCAAGGGGCAGAUGAGGCUCAGUUGGACUCCAUAGCAGAUGUAAUGGAGAGGGGCAAGCAGUGAGGCUGCCUUGCAAGGCAGGGCAGAGCAGGGGCUGUUAAGGAGUUUGGACUUAAUCCCUGAGGCAAGGAGAAGUGAUGUAAAUGGGGGAGUAACAUGAUGAGAUUCAUAGAUUAGAGACAUGGCUCAGGCUGCUGUAGAGAAGGCACCAGGAAGAGCAGAUGGCUCAAUGUGUGUGCAGAAGACCUCUCCCUGAGUUUAGGGAGAGGUUUUUAAAACAGAAGAAGUUUGAGUAAUUUAAAUGAUGAUGGGAAGGAGCUAAAAGUGGGGGAUAGGUUAAAGAUACAGGAAAGUGGGAGGAAGAACUGACAAGUGAGGUUCCAGAGAGGGCAGGAGAAGAGGAGAUUCCCAUAGGGGGAUUAACACUUUCUUUUCUUUUUUCUUUCU
rnacentral:lncRNA from 1 species